rnacentral:rRNA from 1 species
AUUGAACGCUGGCGGCAGGCCUAACACAUGCAAGUCGAGCGGGGUUUUCGGACCUAGCGGCGGACGGGUGAGUAAUGCGUAGGAAGCUACCCGAUAGAGGGGGAUACCAGUUGGAAACGACUGUUAAUACCGCAUAAUGUCUACGGACCAAAGUGUGGGACCUUCGGGCCACAUGCUAUCGGAUGCGCCUACGUGGGAUUAGCUAGUUGGUGGGGUAAUGGCUCACCAAGGCGACGAUCCCUAGCUGGUUUGAGAGGAUGAUCAGCCACACUGGAACUGAGACACGGUCCAGACUCCUACGGGAGGCAGCAGUGGGGAAUAUUGGACAAUGGGCGCAAGCCUGAUCCAGCCAUGCCGCGUGUGUGAAGAAGGCCUUCGGGUUGUAAAGCACUUUCAGUAGGGAGGAAGGAUGUUGUGUUAAUAGCACAGCAUUUUGACGUUACUCGCAGAAGAAGCACCGGCUAACUCUGUGCCAGCAGCCGCAGUAACAC